GUCACAGAAGGGAUCGGUACUACCUACCAGGCUGAAAGGUAAUGAGGGUUGCUUGUAGUCUCAUCGACGGUCAGUUUUCAGAACCAAGUAGAAGAAGAAGGACGCAGCAGAUAUUCCACCUUUUUAUAUUACAUAUUUAUUUAGUUAUUUUUGUUGAAAAUUAUUUUCUUAAAUAAAGCAAGUCAGUUUGUGUUUGAUCAUUCACUAUAAUCCAUACACGAGCAUUAUCAGGACCUUUAAAGAAAUUAUGGGUAAAGUUAUAAAUGAAUAGCUUGAUCUAAGUUUAGAUUAAUUAAUUAUUCUAAACUGGGAAAUGUAAAUUAAAGCCUUGGAAUUUCAAUACUAGUGCAAUGGAAUAUUCACAGAGGAUAACUAAUAUGAAACAUUACUAAAAUUUAAAGAAUAUCGUUUACGAACAGAUGCGAUUGGAUCUACUUAAUUAAAAUUUUUAACAAAUUUAAACAACCUUCAAAAAUAAUUUGGGAGAUGUUCAUACUUUUUGUCCUAUGUUAAGAGGGUUGUAAAGAUUUGUUUGUUAUAACAAAAAUAAUACUUAUAAGAGAAGAUGAAAACUAUGAUUAUUUGUUUCUUUCCAAAGCAAAUCAUAGAAAAACGAAU